rnacentral:misc_RNA from 1 species
AAUCAAGAGGUUCAUGGCUGCACUGUGGUUACCACUUGACUACUUCAAUCGUAGCACCAGCACUUCUAAGUCUUCCCUAUGCUUUGUCCUUGCUGGGCUGGUUUGCUGGUGUUGUAUGUCUCACAAUUGGAGCUCUGGUAACAUUCUAUUCCUAUAACCUUCUCUCAUUGGUUCUGGAGCACCAUGCACAGCUAGGGCAUAGACAGCUUAGGUUCAGAGACAUGGCUAAAGAUAUAUUAGGACCCGGAUGGGGCAAAUACUUUGUGGGUCCAAUCCAAUUUGGCGUAUGCUAUGGCGCUGUUAUUGCUUGUGUUCUCCUUGGAGGGCAGAGCCUCAAGUUCAUUUACUUGCUUUCUACUUCUCAUGGAACCAUGGAGCUAUACCAAUUUGUGACUAUUUUUGGCAUCCUGAUGCUAGUCUUAGCUCAGAUUCCAUCAUUUCACUCCCUCAGGCACAUCAACCUUGUUUCUUUAAUCCUUUCCCUUGCUUACAGUGCUUGUGCCAUGGCUGGUUCCAUUUACAUAGGACAUUCAAAGAAUGCACAAGCAAAGGACUAUUCUAUCAAUGAAAGAGGAUGGAAUCGUCUCUUCGGAUCGUUGAAUGCUAUUUCAAUUAUUGCAACCACAUAUGGGAAUGGAAUUAUUCCUGAAAUACAGUCCCAUUUUGCAGGCNAGCUCCAGUCAAGGGAAAAAUGUUCAAAGGCCUACUGGUCUGUUAUGCUGUUGUAGUGACCACAUUUUUCAGUGUAGCAAUCUCUGGAUAUUGGGCAUUUGGGAAUCAGGCCAAGGGAACAGUUUUAAUGAAUUUUAUGCCUGAUGACAAGCCUUUAUUACCCUUUUGGGUUCUCCUGAUGACCAAUGUUUUUACACUCUUGCAAGAAGCAGCUGUAACUGUGGUUUAUUUGCAACCAACAAAUGAAGUGCUUGAACAGAAGCUUGCGGAUGCAAAGAUUGAUCAAUUCUCUAUCAGGAAUAUGGUGCCAAGGUUAAUCUUCCGCUCGUUAUCGGUAGUCAUAGCCACAACUAUUGCUGCCAUGUUUCCUUUCUUUGGAGAUAUUAAUGCAGUGAUAGGAGCAUUUGGAUUCAUACCUUUAGACUUCAUUUUACCAGUGGUCUUCUAUAAUGUGACUUUCAGGCCAUCAAAGCAGGGGCUAAUGUUUUGGGGAAACACAUUGGUUGCCAUAAUCUUUUCAGCGCUAGGAGUUUUGGGUACAAUUUCUUCAAUUAGGCAAAUAGUUGUUGAUGCCAAUACAUACAGUUUGUUUGCUAAUGUGUAAAGACAC